rnacentral:rRNA from 1 species
AGCGAACGCUGGCGGCAGGCCUAACACAUGCAAGUCGAACGAACUCUUCGGAGUUAGUGGCGGUCGGGUGAGUAACACGUGGGAACGUGCCUUUAGGUUCGGAAUAACUCAGGGAAACUUGUGCUAAUACCGAAUGUGCUCUUCGGGGGAAAGAUUUAUCGCCUUUAGAGCGGCCCGCGUCUGAUUAGCUAGUUGGUGAGGUAAAGGCUCACCAAGGCGACGAUCAGUAGCUGGUCUGAGAGGAUGAUCAGCCACAUUGGGGCUGCGACACGGCCCAAACUCCUACGGGAGGCAGCAGUGGGGAAUCUUGCGCAAUGGGCGAAAGCCUGACGCAGCCAUGCCGCGUGAAUGAUGAAGGUCUUAGGAUUGUAAAAUUCUUUCACCGGGGACGAUAAUGACGGUACCCGGAGAAGAAGCCCCGGCUAACUUCGUG